GUGGCAGAUCAGGUUGGAGCAGUCACUAAAGCUCUUUCCACACUCCCUGCACAUGCAGGGCUGUUCCCCAGUGUGGGUGCUCUGGUGGCAGUCCAGGCAGGUGCCUCACCUGAAGCUCUCCCUGCAUUCCAAGCGUAUGUAGGACUGUUCCCUAGCGUGGACACUGCUGGUAGAUCAGAUGGAAGAGGAGGCCGAAUCUCUUUCUGCAUUCCGAGUACGGGGGGUAGGGCCAUUCCUCGUGCGGAUCUUCUGUUGGCACAUCAGGCUGAAGCUCUGGAUAAAGCUCUUCCCACAGUCCAAACACUUCCAGGGCUGUUCCCUGUGUGGAUCUUCUGGGGGCAGCCCAGGCUGGAGCUCUGAGUGAAGCUCUUCCCACAUUCCUCACACUCACAGGGCCACGUGCAUCCAGUGGUGGAUGAGGAGGUUGGAGCUGUUGCUGAAGCUCUUCCCACAUUCCAAGAAGCCCUUGUAGGAUUUGUCCCCAUCAUGAAGCAUCUGGUCAACCGCCAGGUCAGCUGCCUUCCCAACACAGGGUGGUUCUUUCCUCCUCAGAGCACCACGGGCUGGGUUUGCAGGCCCUCCUUGUGGGGGAUCUCCAUGGCUUUUCCUCCCUGUUGACUUCAUGUGCUGUGGAGCCACUAAAAAUGGCCUUUUUCUUAAGGUACUGCCAUGGGGAUCUGCUCUCUCUGGUCUCCGUCCACAGCCCCGUGCCGGGGGGAGGAAGGAACAAGCAGUAGGAAGGAAAAGGACAAGGAGAGAGAAGAAGGAAGAAGACAAUUAGCUGUGGAUGGUGAUGGAAGGGGACAAAUUCCCACAGCAGAACCUUGUGGAAGAGGCCGUUUUGAGCAGCUUCAUGGCUCAGGAAUCCAACAGGGAGGAAAACCCUGGAGAUUUCCCAUGAGGAAGGGCUGCAUGCAAACCCAGCCCAGGAGCUCUGAGGAGGAAAGACCCUCCCUGUGCUAGGAAGGCAGCCAGAGCUUCGGCCAGAGCUCAGAGCUGGGGGUCCAGCAGCAGCUUCAUGAUAGAGAGAAGCCCUACAAGUGCUUGGAGUGUGGGAAGAGCUGCAGCUGGAGCUCCCACCUCAUCCACCCAUCCAUGCUGCGAACGGCCCUACGCAUGUGGGGAAUGGGGGAAGAGCUUCAAUGACGUCUCCAUCUUGGCCUCCCACCAGCAGCUGCACAUUGGGGAACGUCCCUACAAUAAUGGAUAAUGUGGGGAGACUCUCCUCCAGGCAAGCUCCUCACCCACCAGAGCCUGCCCGCGGUGGAAUGGCCCUUCAAGUGCCCUGACUGUGGAAAGAGCUUUGUCCACAGUCCCACCUGGUCAUCCACUGGCACUUCCACAGCGGGGAAAAGCCUUAUGAGUGUCCUGAGUGUGGGAAGAGGUUUUGAGCAGCUCAAUUCUCAUCAGACAUCAACAGACACACAUGGAGGAGAGACCUUAUGAGUAUCCUGACUAUGGCAAGAGGUUUUGGAACAGCUCACAUCUCAUCAGGCAUCAGGAGGCACACACCAGGGAGAGGCCCUGCGAGUGUCCCAAAUGUAGGAAAAGAUUCAGCUUUGCUUUGAUGAGACACCAACAGACCCACCAGUAAGGGAAGUCCUACAAAUCAAAUGCCAUGACUAUACAGGAAGAGCUUGAGUUGAAACUCUGAGCUCAUCACCCACCAGCACCUGCACAUGGGGGAGAAACCAUACAAGUGCCUGGAAUGUGGGAAGAGCUUCAGCUGGAGUUCCACGAGCACUUGGGAGCAGCCCUACAGCUGUGGGGAAUGCAGGAAGGGCUUUAGCUGGAGCUCUGGCCUGAUUUGCUACCAGAGGAUCCACACAGGAGAACCAUCCAGUGUGAGGAAUGUGGGAAGAGUUUCACUGAUGUCUCCAGCCUCAUCACCCAGCAGUGCCUGCACACUGGGGAAUGGCCCUACAAGUGUCAGGAAUGUGGGAAGAUCUUGGGAAGGAUGAAAGUUUGACAAGAAAGUCUCACAGAUAUGUAUGCUUGGCAGAAAGAUUUUUAAAUAUAGAGUCAGAAAGGAUAGAGAUGGAAGCAAGUUUUGAUAUAAAAGAAAAUUGCUGAGUCAGUCUUACUGGAUAACCAAGAAGGCAAAGGGUGUGUUAGUUAGAAGGGGUUUUUAUGGCUUAGAGCAAAGGAUAAACCCACCUCAAACAAGAAGAUGUUUUUACCAAGCAGAAAGAUAGCACAGGCAAACAAGAAAGCAAAGUUGCAAGUAGAAAAAAGGUCUCAGAAUUUUCCACUGCAAGAAAACUGAUAAACAGCUUCUAGCUUAAACUGUAAUGUACUGACUUUUAGUGAUUGGUGAACAGUAACAUGAAUAUGGUAAUUAUAGUAGUUAUGAUAGGCUAUGGGUAAUAGUUAAGGUAUAGAUUGGUUCUGCUGUGUUAAGAUGCUCAGCAAAGAGAAGUAUAUAAUGCAAUGUAACCAAAACCAAAGGGUCUCCAGGCCUGCCUGCAGCUGGAGCUGACAGCUGUAGGCACAGCUCUGUCACCCACGACCCUGCACUGCUGUAACCUCUUGGAUGGAAUAAACUGCAUUUUGUAUACAAUAAACUGCAUUUAGGAGA